GCAGAAGCUCUUUAAUUUGAUGUAGUCCCAGCUGUUUAUCUUUGCCUUCACUAUCACUGCUUUGGUCACACACCCCAGUUCUUGUAUGCACAAAUAAAUCUUUAAAUAAAAAUAAAAUAAAAAUGUUACAAACAAAGCAUUUUCAGGCCAGGAGGGAGUAAAAAACACUGUCAGCUGUUGUUAACAAUGAGAAACAGAAAAGCAUUGAAAUGAGGCCUCAAAUUUGGUGAUGACCUCUCAUUGUCAACCUUCCCCAGGCAGGUCCAGCACCUGAGCCCAGUGGAGAAGGUCUGCCCAGGAGGGAUCAGGAGGGAGGCAGCAGGACGUGGACAGAAACCACCCUGUCCAAUAUGAAGGGCUGUGGGGUCCUAGCCAGGGAGGCUCAGGAAAGCAGGGAGCAUGUCCUCAAGCCUGAGAGAAAGAAUCUGGACACAAAGUAAACCCAGUUUCUGAUGACAGAGCACAUAUCAGUCACUUCUGCCACAAUCCAAAGUACUAUGUGCCAAGGAAACUAAUUUGUAUAAGGAGAGUUAGACCUUUUGGUGGGGGGUACUACCAUCUUUACUUGAAGGGAUGAAUGACAAAACACUAUCAUUAUUUAGAUUUUGUUAAUCUGUACACACUUUCUAGAAAGUGAAUGUGAGCUGUCCCUUUAAGAAAAUCAACUGACAGUUGACAACUGAUAGUAAUUAACUGCCUUGAUAAAGUGCAAGCGCCACGUGAUAACCAGAUAGUGGAAAAUUGUGUCCCAUCAUUAUAAACAACAACUUCUAGUAGCCACUUACUUUUCUUUGGGGAUUUUUGGAACAUGAAACAUGUAUGAUUUUCAAAAUUUGAUUCUCGAAUAAUUAACAUAAAGAUCAUAUAACCUGUACAAACUGAGAGCUAUAACCUCCUAAACUUAUACCGGGGUGCUGGCUAAUUUUAAAACUGCAGAGAUCUUGAAACAAAAAAGCUUGAAAAAUCGCUCACCCAGUGCCUGGCCUGGAUUCAGGGAAGCAACAGUGUGACAAAGGCCUUGGAGCAGGAGAGGAGGGGGCGGCAAAGUCCCAGGUGUCAAGAUCUCCUUUGAAUACUGGUGACUCACCCCCAGUUCUCACUCCCCAUUGCCUGGAGGUCUCCAAAGACU